GCUUCAAUAGUUUAAUAGGUUAAAACUCUGAUUUCAUAUGUCUGUAAUGGAAGUUCGAUCCUCCCUUGAAGCU
rfam:Tolypocladium ophioglossoides CBS 100239 scaffold_98, whole genome shotgun sequence.